AUUGAACGCUGGCGGCAUGCUUUACACAUGCAAGUCGAACGGUAACAGGCCGCAAGGUGCUGACGAGUGGCGAACGGGUGAGUAAUGCAUCGGAACGUGCCCAGUCGUGGGGGAUAACGCAGCGAAAGCUGUGCUAAUACCGCAUACGAUCUAUGGAUGAAAGCGGGGGACCGUAAGGCCUCGCGCGAUUGGAGCGGCCGAUGUCAGAGUAGCUAGUUGGUGGGGUAAAGGCCUACCAAGGCGACGAUCUGUAGCUGGUCUGAGAGGACGACCAGCCACACGGGGACUGAGACACGGCCCAGACUCCUACGGGAGGCAGCAGUGGGGAAUUUUGGACAAUGGGCGCAAGCCUGAUCCAGCAAUGCCGCGUGCAGGAAGAAGGCCUUCGGGUUGUAAACUGCUUUUGUACGGAACGAAACGGUCUGGGUUAAUACCCUGGGCUAAUGACGGUACCGUAAGAAUAAGCACCGGCUAACUACGUGCCAGCCGCCGCCGUAAAAC
rnacentral:rRNA from 1 species